rnacentral:rRNA from 1 species
UACGUAGGGUGCGAGCGUUGCCCGGAUUUAUUGGGCGUAAAGGGCGCGCAGGCGGUACGGCACGUCCGUUGUGAAAUCGCCCGGCUCAACUGGGCGGGGUCAGCGGAUACGGCCGCACUUGAGCAAGCUAGGGGGCAAUGGAAUUCCCGGUGUAGUGGUGGAAUGCGUAGAUAUCGGGAGGAACACCAGUGGCGAAGGCGGCUUCCUGGCCUGUUCUUGACGCUGAGGCGCGAAAGCUAGGGGAGCAAACGGG